rnacentral:rRNA from 2 species
UACGUAGGGACCAAGCGUUGUUCGGAUUUACUGGGCGUAAAGGGCGCGUAGGCGGCGUGGUAAGUCACUUGUGAAAUCUCUGAGCUUAACUCAGAACGGCCAAGUGAUACUGCUGUGCUAGAGUGCAGAAGGGGCAAUCGGAAUUCUUGGUGUAGCGGUGAAAUGCGUAGAUAUCAAGAGGAACACCUGAGGUGAAGACGGGUUGCUGGGCUGACACUGACGCUGAGGCGCGAAAGCCAGGGGAGCAAACGGG